rnacentral:rRNA from 1 species
AUUGAACGCUGGCGGCAGGCCUAACACAUGCAAGUCGAACGAGUGGCGGACGGGUGAGUAAUGUCUGGGAAACUGCCCGAUGGAGGGGUAUAACUACUGGAAACGGUAGCUAAUACCGCAUACCAUCGGAUGUGCCCAGAUGGGAUUAGCUAGUAGGUGGGGUAACGGCUCACCUAGGCGACGCUCCCUAGCUGGUCUGAGAGCAUUACCGGCCACACUGGAACCGAGACACGGUCCAGACUCCGACGGGAGGCAGAAGUGGGGAAUAUUGCACAAUGGGCGCAAGCCUGAUGCAGCCAUGCCGCGUGUAUGAAGAAGGCCUUCGGGUUGUAAAGUACUUGCAGCGAGGAGGCGUUACUCGCAGAAGAAGCACCGGCUAACUCCGUGCCAGCAGCCGCGGUAAUAC